rnacentral:rRNA from 1 species
AGCGAACGCUGGCGGCAGGCUUAACACAUGCAAGUCGAGCGGGCACUUUCGGGUGUCAGCGGCGGACGGGUGAGUAACGCGGGGGAACGUGCCCUCUGGUUCGGAAUAACUCAGGGAAACUUGAACUAAUACCGGAUACGCCCCUUUGGGGAAAGGCUUGCUGCCGGAGGAUCGGCCCGCGUCUGAUUAGCUAGCUGGUGAGGUAACGGCUCACCAAGGCGACGAUCAGUAGCUGGUCUGAGAGGAUGAUCAGCCACACUGGGACUGAGACACGGCCCAGACUCCUACGCGAGGCAGCAGUGGGGAAUAUUGGACAAUGGGCGCAAGCCUGAUCCAGCCAUGCCGCGUGAGUGAUCAAGGCCUUAGGGUUGUAAAGCUCUUUUAUCCGGGACGAUAAUGACGGUACCGGAGGAAUAAGCCCCGGCUAACUUCGUG